CCCUUAGAUGUCCUGGGCCGCACGCGCGCUACACUGAGUGUCUGAGAUACGAGUCUGCCUGGUCCGGCAAGGUCUAGGUAAUCGCUAAAAGACACAUCAUGCCUGGGAUAGAUUAUUGCAAAUAUUAAUCUUGAACGAGGAAUUCCUAGUAAGCGCAAGUCAACAGCUUGCGUUGAUUACGUCCCUGCCCUUUGUACACACCGCCCGUCGCUACUACUGAUUGGAUGUUUAAGCGAGGUUCUCGAACUGCUAGCGACUUAGCUUCGGUGAGGUCGCAGUGUGGGAAGUGAACCUAGCUUUGGUGUCUAGAGGAAGUAAAAGUCGUAACA
rnacentral:rRNA from 1 species